GUGCCAGCAGCCGCGGUAAUACGUAGGUGGCAAGCGUUGUCCGGAAUUACUGGGUGUAAAGGGAGCGUAGGCGGGAAGGCAAGUUGAUUGUUUAAACUAUCGGCUCAACUGAUAGUCGCGAUCAAAACUACUUUUCUUGAGUGAAGUAGAGGUAAGCGGAAUUCCUAGUGUAGCGGUGAAAUGCGUAAAUAUUAGGAGGAACACCAGUGGCGAAGGCGGCUUACUGGGCUUUAACUGACGCUGAGGCUCGAAAGCGUGGGUAGCAAACAGGAUUAGAUACCCUGGUAGUCCACGCCGUAAACGAUGAUUACUAGGUGUGGGGGGACUGACCCCUUCCGUGCCGGAGUUAACACAAUAAGUAAUCCACCUGGGGAGUACGACCGCAAGGUUGAAACUCAAAGGAAUUGACGGGGGCCCGCACAAGCAGUGGAGUAUGUGGUUUAAUUCGAAGCAACGCGAAGAACCUUACCAGGUCUUGACAUCCUUUGACCACUUAAGAAGUUAAGUUUUCUCUUCGGAGACAAAGUGACAGGUGGUGCAUGGUUGUCGUCAGCUCGUGUCGUGAGAUGUUGGGUUAAGUCCCGCAACGAGCGCAACCCUUAUGUUUAGUUGCUACGCAAGAGCACUCUAGACAGACUGCCGUUGACAAAACGGAGGAAGGUGGGGAUGACGUCAAAUCAUCAUGCCCCUUAUGACCUGGGCUACACACGUACUACAAUGGCUAUCAACAGAGGGCAGCAACAUCGCGAGAUGAAGCGAAUCUCCAAAAAUAGUCCCAGUUCAGAUUGCAGGCUGCAACUCGCCUGCAUGAAGAUGGAAUUGCUAGUAAUCGCGGAUCAGAAUGCCGCGGUGAAUACGUUCCCGGGCCUUGUACACACCGCCCGU
rnacentral:rRNA from 1 species